CACAAACCCAAAGGGAAUGGUGAGCUCCCUUGGUCUCCCAUUUGGGACAGGUGUCCCCACUGCCUCCAGUGCUGCUUGCCCUGGGUGGGGGCUUUGGUUGUGGGGAGGAGAAACUCCCCUGUGAGCACCUGCAGCUGUGGGGGGGCUCAGCCCAGCAUCCAGGGUGGCCAGGGAGAGCUGGAAACCCCCAGGGUACAUCCAGGGGGGGCAGGGAGAGCUGGAAACCCCCAGGAUACAUCCAGGGUGGCCAGAGAGAGCUGGAAACCUCCAGGGUGGCCAGGGAGAGCUGGAAACCCUCAGGACACAUCCAGGGUGGCCAGGGAGAGCUGGAAACCCUCAGGAUACAUCCAGGGUGACCAGGGAGAGCUGGAAACCCUCAGGGUGGCCAGGGAGAGCUGGAAACCUGCCAGGGUAUAUCCAGGGUGGCCAGGGAGAGCUGGAAACCCCCAGGGUACAUCCAGGGUGGCCAGGGAGAGCUGGAAACCCCCAGGGUGGCCAGGGAGAGCUGGAAACCCUCAGGAUACAUCCAGGGUGACCAGGGAGAGCUGGAAACCCCCAGGACACAUCCAGGGUGGCCAGGGAGAGCUGGAAACCCUCAGGAUAUCUCUGUGUCCAUGCUGGAACAGCCUCUUGGAAUGCACCUGGGUUCCCACAGGCUGCACAUCCAGGGCCCAGCACUGUGGGAACACCUCUGUGGGACAGUGGGGUGACAUUUGGGGUUUGUCUGUGCCCCUCCCCUCCUGGCAGCACAGGCACAGUCCUCUUUUCCCAGAGGGACAGCAGUGGAUUCCAAACACUCCUUGUGUGUGCGUGGCUGGUGUCUGGAUCCGUGGUGUCCGUGUUGAAGGUGCUGCUGGUGCUGUCCGUGGGGAUUUGUCCUGUCCUGUGUGUGGAGCUCUCCCAGGAAGGCUCGUGUGGCUUUCUGGAGGAGCUGGAAUUGCCUCCCCUCUCUCCCUGCCAGGUCUCUGCUGUGCAGUGCCACAGUCCUGGGGAGCAGGGGGUGAAUUCCCUGCAGUCAUUUCCUGCUCUCCCUUCCCUUUCCGUGUCACCAGCCUCCUGUCCUGGGCACAGAACCUCCUCAAAUCCAGAGGGGGAAGGAGAACAUCCAGAAUGGGACAAGAGGAGGCUGGGAAGGGGUGGGAAGCCAGGAGUACUCACUGGCUGGAUGGUGAGGAAAAGCCAGGCUGGUUCUGGGCUGUGCCACUGGGUGUUGGGGUAUUCCAGGUAGUGCCAUUCCCGGGCAGUGCCAUUCCCGGGCAGUGCCAUUCCCGGGCAGUGCCAUUCCCGGGUGGCAGUGCCAUUCCUGGGCAGUGCCAUUCCCGGGCAGUGCCAUUCCUGGGCAGCAGUGCCAUUCCCGGGCAGUGCCAUUCCCGGGUGGCAGUGCCAUUCCUGGGCAGUGCCAUUCUGAGGUCUGGGUGUGCUGCUGCUCCAGGCCAGGCUGAGGAGCUGCUGGUGCCCUCCUGGCUCCUCUUGGGAAGCUCUCCCAAGCCCUCUGGAGCCAUCCUGACACAGCCAAGGGCGGGCAGUGAGGAGUUUGUCCCCAGGAGCAUCCAGAGCAGCCAGGCAGAGCUGUGGGAGCAGGGGAUGAGGAGGAAAGGGCUGCCCUGGCCUGGAGGAGGGUUCCUGGGAUCUCUGCUCCUUUCCAGGCCACCUCCACCUGCACACGAGCUGGCUCCAGGUACUGCCCUGACCCUUAUGGGCACCUCCAGGGAUAUCCCAGCUCUGAGGGCCCUGCCUGUCCCUGCUGGCUCUGCCCCAUGGGGCACACGGGGACUGCCAGCAGGGACACAGUGCUGCAUUUAUUUCCCACCUCCUUCCCUCCUCCCCUCUGGGAGUGCCUGGGCUGGGCGAAAUUCCACAUUGGAUGGAAAACUGCUUGCCCAGGGAUGGAGGCUGAGGAGCGCUGAGCCCCAGGGCCCCUGA
rnacentral:lncRNA from 1 species